rnacentral:rRNA from 1 species
GGGGAAUUUUCCGCAAUGGGCGAAAGCCUGACGGAGCAAUACCGCGUGAGGGAGGAAGGCUCUUGGGUUGUAAACCUCUUUUCUCAGGGAAGAAGAACUGACGGUACCUGAGGAAUCAGCAUCGGCUAACUCCGUGCCAGCAGCCGCGGUAAUACGGAGGAUGCAAGCGUUAUCCGGAAUGAUUGGGCGUAAAGCGUCCGCAGGUGGCGGUGAAAGUCUGCUGUUAAAGAGUCUGGCUCAACCAGAUAAGGGCAGUGGAAACUACACAGCUAGAGUGCGUUCGGGGUAGAGGGAAUUCCUGGUGUAGCGGUGAAAUGCGUAGAGAUCAGGAAGAACACCGGUGGCGAAGGCGCUCUACUAGGCCGCAACUGACACUGAGGGACGAAAGCUAGGGGAGCGAAUGGGAUUAGAUACCCCAGUAGUC